AAAACAGAUGGCCGUUAAGGUUCUCAUUGACCAAAUGAGAUGAAGAAGAAGCUCCAGUUCAUCAACGCUCUGGAUGUGCUUUCUGCGUCGAAGAGGAUGAAGGCGAUGAAGGCACUGUAAGAUCUUCCAAAACUAUGGUUGGAUAGCGAAUGUGCAGAAAUCAUCUCAUCCCAUCUCAUAUGCUUGGCUGUGGUUACAUGCCUCCCGAUCAGUCUGCUAUGCAGGGAAUCUAUUCCGGAAUAUCAAUUUGGAGUGUCGAUGCUUGAAAUCAACUGCUUUUAUGCAUUGCAAUUCUCAGUUACAAUGAUAUUUAUUUUGUUUUUUACUUUGUGAGGGUGAUAUUC